CGCUCGAUGGUCAAGUCGUAUGAUUCUCGCUUCGGCUGUGAGAGGUACCGGGUUCAAAUCCCGGUCGAGCAA